rnacentral:lncRNA from 1 species
AUCAUGAUGUUUCCACAAUAGUUACAUGAAUAGAAUGGAAUAUAUGAUAGUAGUGUAUGUAUCUAAACUGUGAUUUCUAAACUCGGUGGUUAACAUUUUGCUGUGUUAAUUAAACAAUUCAAUAUUUAUAUUGUUCACUAAUGUUAUUCAAGUGAAGUGAUGCAGUGAUAUUUGAUACCACCGAAGCAUGUAACCUUGUAGAGUUGAAAGCAAAUUGAGGAGAUAAUCUUAUUGAGAAAUUUCAUGACAUUGAGGUAUUCAUAGAGAUGCCUAUAUACUAUGUGAUAGAAAGUUGUCACUUAGAAAUAUUCUAAGUAGACAUGUACAUGAUUGUGAUUCAUGAAAUAUUUUGAGAUACCAUAAACUAUAAUAUGGUAUAUUGUGGAUUAUCCAUUGUAUUAUAAUAAUACAAUGAUGUAUA